CGCGUGUGUGAAGAAGGCCCUCGGGUUGUAAAGCACUUUCAGCGAGGAAGAACGCCUAGCGGUUAAUACCCGCUAGGAAAGACAUCACUCGCAGAAGAAGCACCGGCUAACUCCGUGCCAGCAGCCGCGGUAAUACGGAGGGUGCAAGCGUUAAUCGGAAUUACUGGGCGUAAAGCGCGCGUAGGUGGCUUGAUAAGCCGGUUGUGAAAGCCCCGGGCUCAACCUGGGAACGGCAUCCGGAACUGUCAAGCUAGAGUGCAGGAGAGGAAGGUAGAAUUCCCGGUGUAGCGGUGAAAUGCGUAGAGAUCGGGAGGAAUACCAGUGGCGAAGGCGGCCUUCUGGACUGACACUGACACUGAGGUGCGAAAGCGUGGGUAGCAAACAGGAUUAGAUACCCUGGUAGUCCACGCCGUAAACGAUGUCGACCAGCCGUUGGGUGCCUAGCGCACUUUGUGGCGAAGUUAACGCGAUAAGUCGACCGCCUGGGGAGUACGGCCGCAAGGUUAAAACUCA
rnacentral:rRNA from 1 species